rnacentral:lncRNA from 1 species
GGGGGGGGGGGGUUUGUGGGAGGAUGGAUUGAUCUGAAGUGAAAGAAACAGAAAAAGAACAGGGGAAACGACUGGACAAUUUUUAAUCAAUGAAGAAGCCGAAGAAAAAACAGAUGACGGUGAAAGGGAACGGGACUAAAUUAGGAAGAGAAAUUGUAUUUGAGCAAAACAAGGAAAAAAUCAGUGUAAUAGAUGAGAAUCAAAGUGUUGUUGCGAUCAGAAAAUUGAAACAAGAAAAGGGUUUCUUGAUCCAAUGAGUAUACAGAGAGGUGAUGGCAGAAGGGAGCAAAGCUAGGUCAGGAGAGGGUUUCUUGAUUGAGAAUUGAACGCAAAGAGUAGGAGCUGAUGAAUUAUAACUGGUAAAACUGAUUUGAAGCAAUUCUAUUGAGCGAUCUGAAAAAAAUUAUUUUGUUCAAUAUCAUACAGUAAAAGGAACAAAACAGUAAAAAGAAAUUAUUUAUUUAUUUUGUCAAAUGUGAAUACAGAGAGUAUCCAAACGAGCAAUUAUUUCUUUCUCGUCUCAGUCAACUAUAACGACAAAACAGCAAAAGAGAAAAUUAUUGUCA